GAUGAACGCUGGCGGCAUGCCUAACACAUGCAAGUCGAGCGAACGCACGGGAAGCAUGCUCCUAUGAUGUUGGCGGGCGACGGGUGAUUAACUCGUCGAUGACCUAGCUAUAAGACUGUGAUAAUAACGGGGCACCGGAGCUACUACCGGAUGAUAUUUUGAACCGGAUGGAUCAAGAGUGGAAGAAGGUAUUGGUGUGAGUUACAGCUGGCUCCGCGGUGCAUUAGUAAGUUGGUAAGGUGACGGCUUAGCAACGCAACGAUGCAUAGACGACCUGAGAGGGUCAUCGGACACCCUGGAACUGAGACACGGUCCAGACUCCUACGGGAGGAAGCAGUAGGGAAUCUUCCGCAAUGGGCGAAAGCCGGACCGUGCAACGCCGCGUGAGUGAUGAAGGUCUUCGGAUCGGAAAACUCUGUUGGUAGGAAAGAUCAUAUGUGUAUGUAACUGUGCACAUCUUGACGGUACCUAAAGAAAAAGCCACGGCUAACUACGUG
rnacentral:rRNA from 1 species